UACGAAGGGGGCUAGCGUUGCUCGGAAUCACUGGGCGUAAAGCGCACGUAGGCGGAUCUCUAAGUCGGGGGUGAAAUCCUGGAGCUCAACUCCAGAACUGCCUUCGAUACUGGGGACCUUGAGUCCGGGAGAGGUGAGUGGAACUCCGAGUGUAGAGGUGAAAUUCGUAGAUAUUCGGAAGAACACCAGUGGCGAAGGCGGCUCACUGGCCCGGUACUGACGCUGAGGUGCGAAAGCGUGGGGAGCAAACAGG
rnacentral:rRNA from 1 species